AGACUGAAAAGUCCCAGGUUCAAAUCCCAGGAGCGGAGUGAGUACCCACUGUUAGCUCCAGCUUCUGCCAACCUAGCAGUUCGAAAACAUGCCAAUGUGAGUAGAUCAAUAGGUACCGCUCCGGCGGGAAGGUAACAGUGCUCCAUGUAGUCAUGCCGGCCACAUGACCUUGGAGGUGUCUAUGGACAACGCCGGCUCUUCGGCUUAGAAAUGGAGAUGAGCACCAACGCCCAGAGUCAGACAUGACUGGAGUUAACACUCUAAAUGGGUUCCUGAGUCAACUCAAACACAAAUGACCUCCUAUAUAUACAAUUGAAAAUGAAUCAGUUCAGUAAAUAAUAUAUCUGGCAAAUUAAUAUACUGUUUAAAUUCACAGUAAUAUCGAACACCAUCAAAUGGAUUGUCCCAUAUACAUAGAAAUGCAGUCGGCGUUAAAUUCACAGUAAUAACAAGCAGCCUCAAAUGGAUAGUCCAAUAUACAUUGAAGUGCAAUCGGCGUUGUAUAUUCUAUUGCCGAGAAGAGUAAGUUCGCCACGACCGGUUUCGGCCCUGCAUCAGGCCUUCCUCUGGUGGUCUGAAAAUAGUUACGUACACUAACAUAAGUAACAAAAUAUAUCCAUAAAACAUCAUCCAUUGCCUAAUACUAACAUGGUUCCAAACUUAACACUUGUUCUCUUUAGAGAUACAUGUCAUUUACAUUAUGAAAUGUAUAUCAAAGACACCAAUAGUUACAUACACAAAAUAUAAGUAACUACCUAUCCAUUGAGUAAUAACUAUAAACAACAUUACAAUAUACUUACAUAGUUCCAAAUUUAACACUUGUUCUCCUUAGAGAUACCUGUUUUUUACAGUGGAAUCUAGGUCAAAGGAACAAGGAGUGGCCAUAAGCAUUAAAGAGUUACAAACAUCCAAAAAUUUGUUUUUAAACAAAUUGUAUAUUUCUAAAACAGUAUAUACUCACGGGAUACUCUGCUGUGUGUUAGGUUCUAAUUGCGAGUAUGAAAAGCAUCAAGGGGUUGCCUCAAUUUAAAGGGGAAGAUGUUAAAGAAACAGAAAGGUUUAUAUGAAGAUAUAGAAGAAAUACCACCAGAUGGUGCUAUGAGUACCCUUAUUGUAUUGGGUGUAUUCAAUUAGGGAUUUAUAGUAUGCUAAGGUUCUAUAUAUAACAACUGUAUGAAUUUUGUUCAUUUAAGCCCUGUGGAUGUUCUGUCCGUAAUCUGAAAAUCCAAUAUGUUUCCCUUUGCAAAAGUUUAUUAUUGAAGUCCAUAUGUUUGGAUUGUGAUACUACUUCUAGUAUGUGGUAUUUGAAUGAUUCAGGACUAUGCUGUAGAUCACAGAAAUGUUUGUACAGUAUGGAUUCUCUGACAUGAUUUCGUAUUUUGCUCCUGUGCUCUAUAAUUCUGCUCUUAACUUCUCGACGAGUCUGCCCCACAUAUGAUAAAUUACAAUCACAAAUUAUCAUGUAAAUAACCCCUUUGGUUGUACAGGUGGCAAAAUGGGGAAAUUUAAAUUCGAAUGAUAGAUGUUGGUGUGUCAAGAUUUUGGUCUCUAUCAAUUGGCUGCAUACUGAACAAUGAUGGCAGCGAUAGUUGCCCACCAGAUUAGAUUUUACAGUCCGGGGCCUAUUGGUUAUGUUUGAAUGUACCAAUAUAUCCCCAAUAUUCCUUGUUCUUUUAUAUGCUACCAAAGGGGGUCUAUCACAUCCAGGGAUGUCUCUUAUUAAGUUCCAGUACUUUUUAACAGUUUUGAUGGCUAGAUUGGACAAACUUGUAAGUGUGAGUGGCCAUAUCAAUCUGUCUACUCCUGGUCUAAUUUUGUCCUCUAGGAGUUUAGAUCUAGGAAUACUGGCAACCUUCGAGUAGGCUGAUUGUAUUAUGGACUCUGGGUAACCUCGAUUUCUGAACCUGCUUUUUGUCUCUUCCAUUUCCUGAUUGAAGUCCUGUAGGGUAGAGGAGUUGCGUUUAAUCCUGAGCAUCUGUGUAAAGGGUAAAUUAUUUUUUAAUGCCCAAUGAUGGUAACUGUUGUAAUGUAACAAGGAGUUUCUAUCAGUGGUUUUUCGGUGGUUACUCACUUUCAAUCGAUCAUUUUCCUUUGUAACCACGACAUCUAGAAAAAUCAAGGAUGUAGAACUGAUGUUUCCUGUAAAUUUAAUUUUGAGGUGAAUUGUAUUGAUCCAGGAUAAUAACGUUACUGCCUCCUGAUGUGAAUUAACAAUGAUAAAGAUAUCAUCAAUAAAUCUACAAUAUUUGAUAAUGCCGUCCGCUACAGGGUUCUUUGUGUGAUUCAAGAUAGUUUCAUUCUCCAAAUUAUCCAUGAAUAAAUUGGCUAUCGCUGGCGCGACAGGACUGCCCAUGGCUACACCUUGUAUUUGGAAAUAGUAUUUUUCAUCAAACUUGAAGUAAUUUUUUUCAAGAAUAAUAUCAAGAAGAUCCAACAAAAAAAAGGUGGGAGGGUGGUGAUUAGGCCUCCUGUUCAAGGUUGAUUCACAUAUAUAUCGUGCCUCCUCUAACGGAAUAUUGGUAUACAGUGAUAUUACAUCUACAGACAUCAGGACUGCAUCUGUUGGGAUCACCAAGGAUUCAAUAAUGUUAAUAAAAUGUUUUGUAUCUCUAACAUAGGAAGAAGUCUGUUUCACAAAAGGUUGUAAAUAGUGGUCCACAAAUUUAGCUAGUGGUUCUAAGACUGAGCCCGAUCCGGAUACAAUAGGACGGCCAGGUACCGGUCUAAUGUUUUUAUGUAUUUUGGGUAGAGUAUAUAGUACAGGGAUUCUGGGCCAUGGUGUAUGUAGAAAUUUAUAUACAUCCUCUGAUAUAUAUCCAAGUGCCAGCCCUUCCAAUGUCACCGUUCUUAUAAUUGACUGGAUAUGGUGUGUAGGGUCCCGUUCUAUAUUGAGAUAAUGUUCUCUUACAGAUAAUUGUCUAUGGAUCUCAUCCAUAUAAUCAGUGCGGUUCAUUAAUACUAUGGCUCCACCUUUAUCAGCUGGCUUCCAAACCAGAUCUUUGUCAUUAGCUAAAUUGUGAAGGAUGUGCCAUUCCUUACUGGAAAAAUUUGUACUGUAUGAUCUUUUUUGCUUUAUAAUUGUACAACAUAAUUCUUCAGAUACUGUCUUCUCAAAAACUCUGAGGCCAAUAUGGUCAGUCGUGGGAAAAAAAUUACUCCGUGGUUUGAAAGUGGAGGUAAUAGGGUUUAUUUUGGUUCCAAAAUGAUGUCUUAAUCUAAUGGUGCGAAAUAACCUAGCUAAUUCUAUUCGCAUCCUAAAUGGAUUAUACUUAGGUUUAGGGACAAAUGAUAGACCUUUGUUGACAACCUCCCUCUCUUGAGGGGUUAGAACUCUUCUAGAUAAAUUCACGACUAGGUCUUCCGUUUGGCAUUUGGAGCCUCUUGAAAAAAACGAUUGGGUCUAUUCCUAGUACGCCCCGUACGUCUGGGUACCCGAAUGUUAUCACUCCUAGUAGAGGCCAUGCUACGUCCUGAACUGUCUGACAUGGAUUCUGUGUCUUCUUCAGAAGUAUAUUCACUAAACCUUACUUGUUUUUUAGAAUAUUGGCGUUUAGAGUAUAGCCACUGGUAAACUCUGUUAUUGUUGUAAUCAUUUUCAUCCCGCUCAAACUUUUUAAGUUUGAAAGAUCUAAGUUGUUGGGAAAAUUCUUUAAGUUUACAUGUGAGGGUGUCCAAAUCAGUUUUAAACUGGUCCUCAGAGUUGAGUCUCUCCAAUAUAACCUGAGUUUGGGUUCUUACAUUGGCAAUUUCAUCAUUGGAGCGUGCAAUAAGUAAGAGCAUCAAAUCCUGCGAGCACUUAUUGAGAAUUGCCACCCAUUUUUGAUUAAAGGAUUCAUCAUCAUGAAACAUUCCUGGGGGUUUAAAAAUCCGUAAUCCCCUAGGAAUUCUGUUAGCUCUGAUAUAUUCUGCCAAUGUUGAAGCAUGUAAAUCUAAUCUAAUCUCUCUGCGUUUCAGUUUUUCAUACUCCCUUAUGCCUGUUGCCGUGUUGGGGUUACCAGAAGUAGAUACAUGAUAAUUUACAUGAUAAUUUGUGAUUGUAAUUUAUCAUAUGUGGGGCAGACUCGUCGAGAAGUUAAGAGCAGAAUUAUAGAGCACAGGAGCAAAAUACGAAAUCAUGUCAGAGAAUCCAUACUGUACAAACAUUUCUGUGAUCUACAGCAUAGUCCUGAAUCAUUCAAAUACCACAUACUAGAAGUAGUAUCACAAUCCAAACAUAUGGACUUCAAUAAUAAACUUUUGCAAAGGGAAACAUAUUGGAUUUUCAGAUUACGGACAGAACAUCCACAGGGCUUAAAUGAACAAAAUUCAUACAGUUGUUAUAUAUAGAACCUUAGCAUACUAUAAAUCCCUAAUUGAAUACACCCAAUACAAUAAGGGUACUCAUAGCACCAUCUGGUGGUAUUUCUUCUAUAUCUUCAUAUAAACCUUUCUGUUUCUUUAACAUCUUCCCCUUUAAAUUGAGGCAACCCCUUGAUGCUUUUCAUACUCGCAAUUAGAACCUAACACACAGCAGAGUAUCCCGUGAGUAUAUACUGUUUUAGAAAUAUACAAUUUGUUUAAAAACAAAUUUUUGGAUGUUUGUAACUCUUUAAUGCUUAUGGCCACUCCUUGUUCCUUUGACCUAGAUUCCACUGUAAAAAACAGGUAUCUCUAAGGAGAACAAGUGUUAAAUUUGGAACUAUACCACCAGAGGAAGGCCUGAUGCAGGGCCGAAACCGGUCGUGGCGAACUUACUCUUCUCGGCAAUAGAAUAUACAACGCCGAUUGCACUUCAAUGUAUAUUGGACUAUCCAUUUGAGGCUGCUUGUUAUUACUGUGAAUUUAACGCCGACUGCAUUUCUAUGUAUAUGGGACAAUCCAUUUGAUGGUGUUCGAUAUUACUGUGAAUUUAAACAGUAUAUUAAUUUGCCAGAUA